rnacentral:rRNA from 1 species
CCCGCGACAAGCGGUGGAGCAUGUGGUUUAAUUCGACGCAACGCGCAGAACCUUACCUGGGCUUGACAUCCCGAUCGCAUCCCAUGGAAACAUGGGAGUCAGUUCGGCUGGAUCGGUGACAGGUGGUGCAUGGUUGUCGUCAGCUCGUGUCGUGAGAUGUUGGGUUAAGUCCCGCAACGAGCGCAACCCUCGACCUUAGUUGCCAGCAUUCAGUUGGGCACUCUAAGGUGACUGCCGGCUAAAAGUCGGAGGAAGGUGGGGAUGACGUCAAAUCAUCAUGCCCCUUAUGACCUGGGCUACACACGUGCUACAAUGGGCGGUACAAAGGGUCGCGAACCCGCGAGGGGGAGCCAAUCCCAAAAAGCCGCUCUCAGUUCGGAUUGCAGGCUGCAACUCGCCUGCAUGAAGCCGGAAUCGCUAGUAAUCGCGGAUCAGCAUGCCGCGGUCGAAUACGUUCCCGGGCCUU